UGUUUAAAGAUAUAAACUAAAAACCAAAGUUUAAAUAUGCUAUUGUUUGUAAUGUAGUACUUUCAGCAGAAGGAAUUACACAACAUUGCAACCAGUUACAAUCGUUACGUAUAGAAGAUUCGAGGAAAUGUGACUUAUUUGCUUUCGGCCCAUUUUUGACAAUUAUACGCUCAAAAAUGGUUCCUAAAUAGUAAUAAUCUUCCCAAGAAUAUAAGCACUCAAACCGAAUUGAAAUUGUCAGCUGAGAAUGGCCAUUGGGGUAA